rnacentral:rRNA from 1 species
AGAGUUUGAUUCUGGCUCAGAACGAACGCUGGCGGCGUGGAUAAGACAUGCAAGUCGAACGGAGUUAUAAGAGUAGUAAUACAAUUAUAACUUAGUGGCGAACGGGUGCGUAACACGUGAGCAAUCUGCCGGGAAGUGUGGGAUAGCUCGCCGAAAGGCGAAUUAAUACCGCAUGUGGCUAGGGGUGACAUCACUCUAAAGCCAAAGUCGCAAGACGCUUCCUGAUGAGCUCGCGGCCUAUCAGCUAGUUGGUGAGGUAACGGCUCACCAAGGCAAUGACGGGUAGCUGGUCUGAGAGGACGACCAGCCACACUGGAACUGAGACACGGUCCAGACACCUACGGGUGGCAGCAGUCGAGAAUUUUUCACAAUGGGGGAAACCCUGAUGGAGCGACGCCGCGUGGAGGACGAAGGUCUUCGGAUUGUAAACUCCUGUCAUGCGGGAACAAGAAAGUGAUAGUACUGCAAGAGGAAGAGACGGCUAACUCUGUGCCAGCAGCCGCGGUAAUACAGAGGUCUCAAGCGUUGUUCGGAUUCAUUGGGCGUAAAGGGUGCGUAGGUGGCGUGGAAAGUUGAGUGUGAAAUCCUAGGGCUUAACCUUAGAACUGCACUCAAUACUCCCAUGCUAGAGGAAUGUAGAGGAGAGUGGAAUUCACGGUGUAGCAGUGAAAUGCGUAGAUAUCGUGAGGAAGACCAGUUGCGAAGGCGACUCUCUGGGCAUCUCCUGACACUGAGGCACGAAGGCUAGGGGAGCAAACGGGAUUAGAUACCCCGGUAGUCCUAGCAGUAAACGGUGCACGUUUGGUGUGGGCAGGCUCAGACCCUGUCCGUGCCGGAGCUAACGCGUUAAACGUGCCGCCUGGGAAGUACGGUCGCAA